rnacentral:rRNA from 2 species
UUAAGCGACUAAGCGUACACGGUGGAUGCCCUGGCAGUCAGAGGCGAUGAAGGACGUGCUAAUCUGCGAUAAGCGUCGGUAAGGUGAUAUGAACCGUUAUAACCGGCGAUUUCCGAAUGGGGAAACCCAGUGUGUUUCGACACACUAUCAUUAACUGAAUCCAUAGGUUAAUGAGGCGAACCGGGGGAACUGAAACAUCUAAGUACCCCGAGGAAAAGAAAUCAACCGAGAUUCCCCCAGUAGCGGCGAGCGAACGGGGAGCAGCCCAGAGCCUGAAUCAGUGUGUGUGUUAGUGGAAGCGUCUGGAAAGGCGCGCGAUACAGGGUGACAGCCCCGUACACAAAAAUGCACAUACUGUGAGCUCGAUGAGUAGGGCGGGACACGUGGUAUCCUGUCUGAAUAUGGGGGGACCAUCCUCCAAGGCUAAAUACUCCUGACUGACCGAUAGUGAACCAGUACCGUGAGGGAAAGGCGAAAAGAACCCCGGCGAGGGGAGUGAAAAAGAACCUGAAACCGUGUACGUACAAGCAGUGGGAGCCUCUUAAUGGGGUGACUGCGUACCUUUUGUAUAAUGGGUCAGCGACUUAUAUUCUGUAGCAAGGUUAACCGAAUAGGGGAGCCGAAGGGAAACCGAGUCUUAACUGGGCGUUAAGUUGCAGGGUAUAGACCCGAAACCCGGUGAUCUAGCCAUGGGCAGGUUGAAGGUUGGGUAACACUAACUGGAGGACCGAACCGACUAAUGUUGAAAAAUUAGCGGAUGACUUGUGGCUGGGGGUGAAAGGCCAAUCAAACCGGGAGAUAGCUGGUUCUCCCCGAAAGCUAUUUAGGUAGCGCCUCGUGAAUUCAUCUCCGGGGGUAGAGCACUGUUUCGGCAAGGGGGUCAUCCCGACUUACCAACCCGAUGCAAACUGCGAAUACCGGAGAAUGUUAUCACGGGAGACACACGGCGGGUGCUAACGUCCGUCGUGAAGAGGGAAACAACCCAGACCGCCAGCUAAGGUCCCAAAGUCAUGGUUAAGUGGGAAACGAUGUGGGAAGGCCCAGACAGCCAGGAUGUUGGCUUAGAAGCAGCCAUCAUUUAAAGAAAGCGUAAUAGCUCACUGGUCGAGUCGGCCUGCGCGGAAGAUGUAACGGGGCUAAACCAUGCACCGAAGCUGCGGCAGCGACACUAUGUGUUGUUGGGUAGGGGAGCGUUCUGUAAGCCUGCGAAGGUGUACUGUGAGGUAUGCUGGAGGUAUCAGAAGUGCGAAUGCUGACAUAAGUAACGAUAAAGCGGGUGAAAAGCCCGCUCGCCGGAAGACCAAGGGUUCCUGUCCAACGUUAAUCGGGGCAGGGUGAGUCGACCCCUAAGGCGAGGCCGAAAGGCGUAGUCGAUGGGAAACAGGUUAAUAUUCCUGUACUUGGUGUUACUGCGAAGGGGGGACGGAGAAGGCUAUGUUGGCCGGGCGACGGUUGUCCCGGUUUAAGCGUGUAGGCUGGUUUUCCAGGCAAAUCCGGAAAAUCAAGGCUGAGGCGUGAUGACGAGGCACUACGGUGCUGAAGCAACAAAUGCCCUGCUUCCAGGAAAAGCCUCUAAGCAUCAGGUAACAUCAAAUCGUACCCCAAACCGACACAGGUGGUCAGGUAGAGAAUACCAAGGCGCUUGAGAGAACUCGGGUGAAGGAACUAGGCAAAAUGGUGCCGUAACUUCGGGAGAAGGCACGCUGAUAUGUAGGUGAAGUCCCUUGCGGAUGGAGCUGAAAUCAGUCGAAGAUACCAGCUGGCUGCAACUGUUUAUUAAAAACACAGCACUGUGCAAACACGAAAGUGGACGUAUACGGUGUGACGCCUGCCCGGUGCCGGAAGGUUAAUUGAUGGGGUUAGCGGUAACGCGAAGCUCUUGAUCGAAGCCCCGGUAAACGGCGGCCGUAACUAUAACGGUCCUAAGGUAGCGAAAUUCCUUGUCGGGUAAGUUCCGACCUGCACGAAUGGCGUAAUGAUGGCCAGGCUGUCUCCACCCGAGACUCAGUGAAAUUGAACUCGCUGUGAAGAUGCAGUGUACCCGCGGCAAGACGGAAAGACCCCGUGAACCUUUACUAUAGCUUGACACUGAACAUUGAGCCUUGAUGUGUAGGAUAGGUGGGAGGCUUUGAAGUGUGGACGCCAGUCUGCAUGGAGCCGGCCUUGAAAUACCACCCUUUAAUGUUUGAUGUUCUAACGUUGGCCCCUGAUCGGGGUUGCGGACAGUGUCUGGUGGGUAGUUUGACUGGGGCGGUCUCCUCCUAAAGAGUAACGGAGGAGCACGAAGGUUGGCUAAUCCUGGUCGGACAUCAGGAGGUUAGUGCAAUGGCAUAAGCCAGCUUGACUGCGAGCGUGACGGCGCGAGCAGGUGCGAAAGCAGGUCAUAGUGAUCCGGUGGUUCUGAAUGGAAGGGCCAUCGCUCAACGGAUAAAAGGUACUCCGGGGAUAACAGGCUGAUACCGCCCAAGAGUUCAUAUCGACGGCGGUGUUUGGCACCUCGAUGUCGGCUCAUCACAUCCUGGGGCUGAAGUAGGUCCCAAGGGUAUGGCUGUUCGCCAUUUAAAGUGGUACGCGAGCUGGGUUUAGAACGUCGUGAGACAGUUCGGUCCCUAUCUGCCGUGGGCGCUGGAGAACUGAGGGGGGCUGCUCCUAGUACGAGAGGACCGGAGUGGACGCAUCACUGGUGUUCGGGUUGUCAUGCCAAUGGCACUGCCCGGUAGCUAAAUGCGGAAGAGAUAAGUGCUGAAAGCAUCUAAGCACGAAACUUGCCCCGAGAUGAGUUCUCCCUGACUCCUUGAGAGUCCUGAAGGAACGUUGAAGACGACGACGUUGAUAGGCCGGGUGUGUAAGCGCAGCGAUGCGUUGAGCUAACCGGUACUAAUGAACCGUGAGGCUUAACCUU